CAGAUAACGAGUAUUCUUGUUCAGUGUACUACGUAUUUCAUGUUUUUGUAUACAUUUUGUAUUAUAUGUUUUUUGUUUUACUGGUACUGUUUACUAAUAAAUAAUAAUAGCAAGAGUAAAUAUUAUAAUAGGUUUCAGACUUUCAAAAAAAUGUUAUCUAUAAUAUGUAGUUCCACUUCUUAUUUUACUCAACCCACCUUUGUUUUGCAAAUAUAGAUCCUUAGCUUACUAUUUAGCCAUU